GCCGGGCUGCUGUAAAAAUGCAAACCAAUGCAUUUUCCCCUGGGAAGGGGUUGGCAGCAAGCGGUAUCAUGUCGAAUAGGCAGGGAUACCGCAGAAGUGCCAGCAUAUAGCUGGUAAA
rnacentral:sRNA from 1 species